AGAGUUUGAUCCUGGCUCAGAAUCAACGCUGGCGGCGUGCCUAACACAUGCAAGUCGAACGAGAAAGUGGAGCAAUCCAUGAGUAAAGUGGCGACCGGGUGAGUAACACGUGACUAACCUACCCUAGAGUGGGGGAUAACCUCGGGAAACCGGGGCUAAUACCGCAUAACAUCACGAGGGGAAGAUCCUUGUGAUCAAAGGAGCAAUUCGCUCAAGGAGGGGGUCGCGGCUGAUUAGCUAGUUGGUGAGGUAACGGCUCACCAAGGCUAAGAUCAGUAGCCGGCCUGAGAGGGCGCACGGCCACACUGGAACUGAAACACGGUCCAGACUCCUACGGGAGGCAGCAGUGGGGAAUUUUGCGCAAUGGGGGAAACCCUGACGCAGCAACGCCGCGUGGAGGAUGAAGUCCCUUGGGAUGUAAACUCCUUUCGAUCGGGACGAUUAUGACGGUACCGGAAGAAGAAGCACCGGCUAACUCUGUGCCAGCAGCCGCGGUAAUACAGAGGGUGCAAGCGUUGUUCGGAAUUAUUGGGCGUAAAGGGCGCGUAGGCGGUGCGGUAAGACUGUGGUGAAAUCUCCGGGCUCAACUCGGAAAUUGCCGCGGUGACUGCCGUGCUCGAGUGUGGGAGAGGUGAGUGGAAUUCCCGGUGUAGCGGUGAAAUGCGUAGAUAUCGGGAGGAACACCUGUGGCGAAAGCGGCUCACUGGACCACAACUGACGCUGAGGCGCGAAAGCUAGGGGAGCAAACAGGAUUAGAUACCCUGGUAGUCCUAGCCCUAAACGAUGAUUGCUUGGUGUGUCGGGUACCCAAUCCCGACGUGCCGCAGCUAACGCGAUAAGCAAUCCGCCUGGGGAGUACGGUCGCAAGACUGAAACUCAAAGGAAUUGACGGGGGCCCGCACAAGCGGUGGAGCAUGUGGUUCAAUUCGACGCACGCGAGACUUACUGGGCUCGAAAUGGAGUGGACGGGGUGGAAACAUCCCUUCCCGCAAGGGCUGCUCUUAUAG
rnacentral:rRNA from 1 species